UGGUUUUUUGAUUAUUAUUUUAUCUUCCUAAUUAUUUUAUGAAAUUAUACUACUAACCCUAUUUUUAAUGAAAAUACCUAAACUACCCCUAAACCCUAACACUACACUCAUCUCUCUCACCCAAUCCCCCACCCACGGCUCACACGCUUAGCACACACCUCACUCUUCCUCACCAACACACACAGACACGGUUUUGUGAGUGGAAACAAGAAAGAAAGGGAAGAGGGGGAAAUAGAAUCGGGGAAAGGGGUAAAAGAGAGGAAGCGUCGAGGGGGUGAGGGAGAAGAAAGGGAGCUGCCGCCUCCUACCGAUCCGCCGAAUCUUCCACGCCUUGCUGCCCAGCUUGCCGUCGCGCCAGCCACCCACGCCGGAGGAGAGAGAGAUCGACAGAGAGAGACGCAAAGAGGGAGAAGGAUUUGCGUCGCUGCAGCCAUCCAUGCCGUCGUCGCCGAGGGAAGCCAGCGCCACCACCGCGUCACCGUCGCCACCAUCUAUCGCGCCACAACCACACUGCGUCGCCGUCGAGAACAGAGACGCAAAGGAGAGGAGACCGCGGGUCAUUGUCCUCGAAGCUUUCGUCGUCACCGUGCAGAGCUGCUGCCAUCGCCAUCAUCGCAGGCUGCUGCUGCGCGUGUGAUCGUCGCCGCCUCUGGGUCCGUCACCGUCGAGCAGAGCCGCCGGGGAGAAUCGUAGCUGUCGCCAAAGCUCCAGUCGCCGUCAGAAGCUGCUGGUGACACCUAUCUGCAUGUGCAGUCACCGUUGGGAUCCUCUGCCACCGUUCGGGUCACUGGGAACGUGGCUGUGAUCACCGAAACCACCAUCGGAGUUACCACUGUUUCAGUUCAGCCGUCCUUCCUUGUUUGGGAUCGAGUUACGGGUCUUGCAUGCUGGGUUCUAAGACGGUUGCAUGCGACAUCAAGCUGCUGCAUCAUCAUCGGAGUUGCCACUGCUAUGUUCUCUGGCUUAUUGGUAAGUAUAGUAAGUUGUUCCUCGUCCCGAACCUCUAUGGAUUCUAUUCUAUUAUAUGUUUCUAAGGUUCUUGCAACGUUAAUGCUUUAGGUUUGAGUUCGGUUCUUACGUGCCGUGAUUAAAGUUGCUGUGGUUGAGGUUGUGUUGUUGCGGGCUGUGAGAAAAAGAGUUUCUGUCGCGUGGUUAAGUCGUAUUCGAGGUAGGGGCCUUUUCAAAGAACUUAAUUUUAUGAUUUGGAGUUGUUAUAAAUGGAUAUUAAUGUGAUAAAUGUACUUUUGGUGGUUGUAUAAGCCUUAUGUAUUGCUGGGCCGUUUUGUGAUGAACGUAUUUAUGGUUGGAUUGGAUUGUUGUUUGAUUUGGU